UGCUUAUGAAACAACCGGAUGCCUUCCAUCAUUAAUCAAGUAGAAACUUCUCAGGCGAACUGAUCGGACGCCACCUCCAUGUUAAAAACCUACAUCUCCUACCAUCGGCAUCAAGCACACCCGCCUUCUCGGGUAGCACCUCUGGCACUGGUCUCCACAAUGGUAGCUGGCCUCUCCCGAUUCUAAUUCCUCCUUUAUUUUUUCAAUGCCCCAACAUAGUUUCUCAAUUUGGUAGAUGCUCUACGGUUUGCCGCUCCACCGAUUUGAUUCGAUUCCUCGUGCAGCUCGCUCAAGCACCCAAUUUGAUAGGAUAUAUUGGAUUUUGUGGUUGCUCGCUGAAGCUAGGAGGAAGCGGCUACCAUCAACGGACAUUGAGCAAUGAGCAGCACUACCUGCAUGCAGUGGUACAAAAGGUAAGCAACAUAUGAGAGCUCUUCAGCUGUUUGAUGAAAUGCCAGUAUUGUUGACAACUUCAUAAAUAGUAAAUUUUCGUGCAUCUCUCGGUUCGCUGAUGAAGUUUAGUUAACACUGAAUCUAAUUUAUGAAGUUACACAUGCAGUAUGGGUUCUCAACCUUUCGCAAAAAUGCAGUUAGACAAUCCUGCAACCUACAAAGCAAAGGGAAAGCAACGGACAAGCUUAGCAUUGGUCUCGGAUCGUGCUACCUCAAUGCUGAGAAGUCGGCGUCCCUGUACAGGGAAUCGAGAUGACGCCUCUUGAAGAGAACCUGCAACUGUUGAACAUCAAGAGGGGAGAAUUACCGUGCAUAGCUUGGCCGGCUUGAAGACUGAUGCCGAACGGCGUUAGUUUCUCAUCGACAAUACCAAUUGGUUCCUGCUGUUGGCUCCUGGUGGUUUCGGCUCCCCUUCAAUAAAAAAAUUUAUACAAUAGAAACCCCGCUGAAAUACCAUCUUUUACAUGAAAGUUUCAGGCAGGUCUCUAUGAAUUCUUAUUCUAUCCAUCAUUAAAAAAAAUCCCGCCGCAACGCGCGGGGUAUCAUCU